rnacentral:rRNA from 1 species
AGAAACCCCGGCUAACUCCGUGCCAGCAGCCGCGGUAAUACGGAGGGGGUUAGCGUUGUUCGGAAUUACUGGGCGUAAAGCGUACGUAGGCGGAUUAAUAAGUUAGAGGUGAAAUCCCAGGGCUCAACCCUGGAACUGCCUUUAAAACUGUUAGUCUUGAGAUCGAGAGAGGUGAGUGGAAUUCCAAGUGUAGAGGUGAAAUUCGUAGAUAUUUGGAGGAACACCAGUGGCGAAGGCGGCUCACUGGCUCGAUACUGACGCUGAGGUACGAAAGUGUGGGGAGCAAACAGGAUUAGAUACCCUGGUAGUCCACACCGUAAACGAUGAAUGCCAGACGUCAGCAAGCAUGCUUGUUGGUGUCACACCUAACGGAUUAAGCAUUCCGCCUGGGGAGUACGGUCGCAAGAUUAAAACUCAAAGGAAUUGACGGGGGCCCGCACAAGCGGUGGAGCAUGUGGUUUAAUUCGNCGCAACG